AUUCCACGCCGGGAAUCGAACUCGGGCUUCCUGGGUUAGAGCCAGAUAUUCUAACCACUAGACCAGGUGGGA